rnacentral:snRNA from 1 species
GUUUCAGCAACACAUACUAAAAUUGGAACUAUACAAAAAAGAUUAGCAUGGCCCCUACACAAGGAUGAUAUGCAAAUUCGUGAAGCAUUCCAUUCAAAC